CUCGUCAGUUGGUGGUGGACAGUUAUAGUUCCUUUCUGCAGGCUAGGAUGAAUGACUUUUCAGGAAAACCAAUUUCACAAAUCAAAACUUUCCUCUAGAUUUCUCCUACAAUAUUCAUCCAGUUUAGUUCUUUUGGUUUAAUUGGACACCGUCCUGAUUUUUAAUUUUGCAAACCAUUCAGUCUCUUGCUUGCAAAUGGUGCAUGAAAAUAGGAUUGGUAUGGCAGUAGACAAGUCUCUUUAAAGUGGGUUUGUGCCCUGAAAAAAAAGUUUUAUAACUUAAGUUUUUUUGAAACUUGUGCAACACACAUACCUAAAUAACUAUAACAUAGAAGAGAGCAUCAUUCGUGUCAAUGUUUUGUUCCUGUUUACAUUGUCAUUGAUAUUUUUUCAGAAAGCCUGAGGCAUAGCUCAUGAAUUCCUGUCAUUACAUCCUAAAUUAAC
rnacentral:lncRNA from 1 species